UUUUAGCUCAUAUAUUUGAUUUCAGAACAAAUUCAUACUUAGUUGUUAUUUCUAUUUUGUGAAACUCAAAAUGUUAGCUUAAAUGUUCAAUUAUAAUCAACAUAAUUAUGGGAAUUUAAAAACUACAACAAAGUAUUGUCACUUUUGAACAUUUUAUUAAGUAGGCACUGUACUGCAACAUUAUUCUAAAAUAAAGGUUAGAUAUUAACCAGGAAUGUGGAUAUUGCUAUUAUUUCACAAAAAUCUUGCAUGUGACUACUACAGACUACAGUGAUAGUUUGAGAGAAGACUACCAGGGAAUUUAAUCUUGUGGAACAUAACAAACAUUCAUAUUGAAGACUUGUGCAUACAAUUAUUAUAACAAAACCUAAAAUGUCCAAUCAAUCUGUGAGAUAUAUUUUAUGGAUAAAAUAAUUUUUAGAUAGUAUUUACACAUAGUUGUAAGUAACAUAUUUCUGAAUGUUAUAACUAAACGUAAUUUUACAUAUUUAGUUGUAAAUAUUUAAUAAUAAGCCAUUGAAA